rnacentral:rRNA from 1 species
UACGUAGGUGGCAAGCGUUGUCCGGAUUUACUGGGCGUAAAGGGCGCGUAGGCGGCCUGCUAAGUCGAACGUGAAAUCCCCGAGCUCAACUCGGGAACUGCGUCCGAUACUGGCAGGCUUGAAUCCGGGAGAGGGAUGCGGAAUUCCAGGUGUAGCGGUGAAAUGCGUAGAUAUCUGGAGGAACACCGGUGGCGAAGGCGGCAUCCUGGACCGGCAUUGACGCUGAGGCGCGAAAGCCAGGGGAGCAAACGGG